rnacentral:tRNA from 1 species
GGCCUCAUGGCGCAAUGGCAGUGCAUUGGACUCCCUAUCGGAAGGUUGUGUGUUGAAGUCACACUGGGAUCA